GUCCCAGGUGAGUGAGGGACUCCGAGGAUCAGGACCUAAGUUGAGGCCAAUGCCCGGGUGCGUGACCAGGGAAGUCCAGCUGCUGGAAUUGAAAGACAACGCAAGGCUGAAGCUAUUACUACUGAACUAUUUCACAAACCCAUUUUGAAAGUCAAAAACCGAGCACUGAGUCUUUCUCUGUAAUCCAGCUACACCAACCCUAAUCUUCUCUGAGGUGAUGCACAGCUGUCACCGGGGAGAAAUGGAAUGCCAGGAAAUGCACAAAGGAAAAGCAUCCUGACAAAUGUUUUCAGCCUUAUGCGCCACACCACUAAAGAACAUUGCCACCUGCUGUAGGAUAUGAAGCUUCUGAAGCACAUGAGAAGUAAGAGGAAACAAUGGUCAUGCCCCCAAAGGUCUUGCUCCACAGAACUGGAGGGACACGUUCUGAAGAAUCCCGGAUUGCAUUCCAGAUGCACCCCAUGGAAACAUGGGACUUUGGUCCUUUUCCAACACCAGGUCACAAGGAGAAAGCUCAUUUUGCAGCUACUCACAGUUACUAGCAGGGCCAUCAUCCUUAACAUUUUUCUGUUGACUCAGAUGUCAGUGAUUUGUAGAAGGAUAAAUUAUCUAAGUAUGAAUUUCCUCUUAAUUCUGAAUAGGAUCUUAUAAUAGCCUCUAUCCUGUUACGACGUUCCCAGUAGUCUUAUGAAUUCAGUAGGGAAUAAACCAGCUGUUUCCAUUUCAUGGGGAGGGCAGGAGGAACAAUCUUGGACUUUUUCUUUUUUUCAACCAAUGUUUAUUGAACCCUUAUUGUGAACCAGGAGCUGUAUUAGGCUCUGAGAAUACACAGUUAGCCUGGACCUACAUGAUGCUUAUACUAGGGAAGAAGACACAUAAACAGAUACUUUUAUUAUAAAAUGGUAGAAAUAAUUACUAGGUGUCAAAGGUUCAAAGUUGAAGGGUAUCACUCAGCCUUCCUGGAGGAGCUGAGACUUGAACUAAGACUUGAAGGAUGGGCCAGAUGCCAAGUGGGGAGAAGAGCUCUGUUGAUGUGUUCAUUGUGGUAUCCCUACCACCCCACCACAUGGUCUAGUACAUGGAAGACAUUUAAUACAGUGAAUUUGCAAAAGAAAUCUCAGCAGAGGAAAUGUUAUAAGCACAAACAAGGCACGGGAAACUAGAAAUGAUUUGGAUUUACGAGAAGAUUAAUCCUUAUAGGAUCAUAGAUUUCUCUGAAAAACUAAUAGAAGCUAUGGUCCAUCUUCCUACCAAAAUUAACAUACACUCAACAUUUAACAGGUAAUUUUAGGGGGAUACAGAUAUGCCUGAAACUUGUACACACUGAGAAAUCUCUGUUAUAGGGAAUUGGGAGCAUUGAGGUUUUAAAAAACAUCUUUAUUUUAUUUAUUAUAAAGUAGGGGAAUGACAUAACUUAGAGUUACUUUGGAUGCAUAGUGAAGGAUGGGCUUAAGGAAGAUAAGACUAGAUGUGGCAGUUCACUUAAGAGGUUGCUGAAAUAAUUCUGGGUGAGUUAGCCAGAACUAGGAGUGAAGACACGGGCAUGGAGAAGAGUAGUGGGGUGAAGAAUACUUUAAGCGGUAAAACUGGCCUUGCUGGUGUUUGGUUGGAUUUGAGAGCAAGGAAUGGGAAGGAGCUAAGGUUGACUUUCAGGUUUUUUGAAGGACAGGGCAGAUGGUGGUGCUAGUAAUUGAGAUAGGAAAUGCAGGAAAAGAGGUUUGGGUCAGGAAUGGGCUGAUGGAGAGUCUGGGGACGGGAGAAAUGAGGACUUUGGGUUUGGCCAUGUUGAGAUCACUUGAGGCGACCAGGUAAUGACAGAUACGAGCGAAGUGGAAGGAUAAUGGGGAGAUGCUGUGAACUUUAAGGAGCAAAGGAUUAUGGGAGAGUGGAGUGGGGGUCCAGCAUAUGUUUUCACUUAAUUGGGCAGUGAGGAGGACUGGUGGCCACUGAGUCUGAGGAAUGUGGGGAGUAAGAUCAUAAGGCAGCUCCUCAAACAAGGGUUGGCGGAGGGCCAGUGUCUUCAGGAGCUAUGUUAAUUUCCCAGGGCUGCCACAACCAAGCACCACAAACUGGGUGACUUAAAACAACUGGAAUUUAUUGUCUCACAGUUCUUGGGGCUAGAAGUCAGAAAUCAGGGUGAAGCAGGAGAAGAAGGUCUGAAGGCAGGGAACCUAAGGCCAUUUCAUGCAGACUUCCUAGAACUAAAUUCAUGCAGACUUCCUAGAACUUUCCAUGCCUAAGUAACAAAAGGACCAGAGGCUAUUCCCUUUGCAAACCCCCACCUUUUCUGUGUGGCAGAUGGGAAAUCGAAAGUACCUCAAUUUGCAUACGAGUGUAACUUUGUUUGCUUUGGAGUGUAACUUUGUAACUUCACUCCAGCCUCUGAUUGGUUGCUGUCCACAACCAAUCAAAAUGAUUGCAGGCCGAGUCUUCGUUUGCAUGGAAGUGC
rnacentral:lncRNA from 1 species